AACGCGGGUACUGCGCAGGCGCAGAGGACGCUGCUCCCGGUCGCCGUCGCCCGAGUUUGGUCUCCCGACGCACCCGCGGGUUUUGACAGGAGCCGUGCAUCUUCAUGCCUUCGUGAACACGUGUAGAGUUACCUUCACAGGCCGCCUAGGCCCUGGCCAAUUCGCCCUUCCUCUGCCCGUCCGCUCAGCCGGCUUCCCGCUAACCUUGACAAGCAUUUCUGCGCACGGUGCACGCUUCUUGCAUUUUUUUUUCCUUCUUUGAACUAAAACCGAAACAAACUCCUGUUUUCUCGAGUGGUUUCUGUAGCGGCGCUGAACCGGAACACCCCAGAUGCUUUCUCUCGGUGAGAGGGUGAGCUGGUAGUCAGCCCAUUUCUCACACGCGGAAACUGAGGCCUGCGGAGAGGCGGCCCCGGACAGAGAUGAGGAAAGUCAGGAAGAUGCGCAUGAGGCCCAGAAAGUUUGUGCUGAGAUUUGAAGAAGGAGAAGAAAAAGAAGGCGGAAUGCUUACCCUGGAAGGGGAACGGCAGCGACAGAGCAAGUCUCAGGAAGGGCCUGGUGUGUGUUAGAGCAGGUGCACAAGUACGUGGGCCUCUCACUGUUGUGGCCUCUCCCGUUGCGGAGCACAGGCUCCAGACGCAGGCUCAGCGGCCAUGGCUCACGGGCCCAGCUGCUCCGCGGCAUGUGGGAUCUUCCCGGACCGGGGCACGAACCUGCGUCCCCUGCAUCGGCAGGCGGACUCUCAACUACUGCGCCACCAGGGAAGCCCGAUAACGAACAUUUAUUGAGAACAAGUCAUCACCAGAAAAUCUUUGGGAUACAGUACACAAAGAGAGGAGCUGCCAGUGCUGGAAGGACGGGUCCCAGAAGGGCAAAGCCUUUCUUGCCUGCUGCUUCCAGGGAUGUGUGGUGUGUAUCUCAGCGUGCUAUGCCAGAGGGUUUUAUUUCACCUCCCUUGAAUGGAAUGGUAGUCAUCCAGCAGGCCUGGGUGCACAUAAAUAGACGGACACGUAAGCCUGCGUUUCAUAUCCAGAACAUAAACCAGCCACCACCGCGCGCUACACGGUCAUGUUUUGAUGAAAGACUGCUGACAGCACCACAGACCAUGCCGUGGGGCCCAGCGAACCACCUAAUCCCAACUGCUUUAUCCCAGGCAUCGAUGGGGCACAUUUCUCUGCCAGGAACAACUUCUUUCCAGCCACCAGCAGCUCUCAGUUUCUUUGGCUUUUCCUGCUUCAGCUGCCCGUUACUGGUGACCCUCAGUCAGAGAGGCCAGGGUGAACACGGAAGACUGAAAUGUACAGCUAAUCCCCCCAUUUUUUUUUUCCAGGCAGAAAAUUUAGACCCAUUUGCCUGUGAAGCCCUUUGACUCUGGAACUCAUGUCAAAAGGGCCCAUUGAAAGCUUAGCAUUUCCACAUCUCCUGCCUAACUUUCUCCAGCGUACAACAGGGGAGUGUCCCGUCCUAGACUCUGCAGGAUUAAGUAUGAAUUCCUGCCAUUCAGAUUCUAUACAAUAUGGUCCCAAACUACCUUUCCCAUUCUAUAACCACUAUGUCCUUACUUUAGCCUCUGUUUGAGUCUUGUCCGCUUUCCAUUUUCCAAGGCCACUUAUAUCACUAUGCCAUUGUAAUGGUCCCCUCCCCUGGAACAGUCCCCCUCUCGCUGCCUGUUGAAAGCAUUUCUGUCCUUUAAGGCUGCGUUUCAUUCCGAGACCUCCAUGACCACUCCCACUGGUGUCUUUCUCUCCAGAGCGUGCAUUGUUUCUACUCUUUACUCAAUGAGUCAUUAAUUACUUAUGAUAGAUUCUUUGUAGUCUUGUACACUGAUUAGAACUGACAUUUUUCACAUUGGAAUGCUAGAUUCUAGUCUCCUCUAGAGUGGAAUCCCCAUGAGGUCAGGGUUCGUGCAUUAUCUUCCUUGUAACUCCUACGGUGUUAAGUGCUGUAUCUACAAGAGGAGCCAGGAAGUGCUUGUUGAUUGAAUGAAUAAUAAUCCACUCUUGAAAAAUCAGAGCUUUGGCAGUGUCUGUGAGUGAAUCCAGUGACCUUUCAAGGACAUUCUCUGGCUAAGCAGCGAAAAAUUGGAAUAUGAGGUAAUAAUUAAAGUUAUUCUCAGGUCCAGAAGGGAGCUCAGAGACUAUCCCUCCACUGAAGUGCCCUGGAGCCAUCUAGAAUGUCAGCUUAACUCAGCUUCCACGCUGGGUUGCUUCCACAGUUUUGGGUUUCUUGGCAUUCUAGUCUAUGGAUUCAGAAGACCUGAUUUUUACAAUUGUCAUCCCUCAAUAACCUUCAUAUAUUUAUUCAGUAAAUACUUGAUUUGAAUUAAACUGGGAGCAGUUCUAACCUUUUUCUAGAUAUUGUGGAGAAUGGGUCUGGGAUGUUUGAGUAAGAUGUAAGUGCUUUUUAUACAACAUUUGAGUUUUGAACCAUGCCUUUGGAAUUCCAUAAGUACCUGAAGUGUCUAGUCAGUGAUUGCAGCACUUGUUCUUUAAAUAGUGGAUUUGACUUUUGUGAACCUCUAAAUAUAAUUUUUAGAUAAAUCUGAUUAAUAAAAUGGAGACUCAAAUAUGGUAAUAUUUUAGCAAAAAUAAGGAAUAAAAAAAAUUAGAAAAAAAAACCCCAUGAUUUUUACGUGUGGCUUAUAAAAGGGCUUUGAAGGUGAUUCCAAAAGAAAAUUUUCAGAAAUGUAUUAAAUUAUGGAAGCAUUACUGUAAUAAGAAUAGCUUUCACUUACUGAGCAUUUGUUGUGAGUCAUUAAGUACUUGAUAUUCAAAAUCUCAUUUAAUCCUAAAAGCAACCUGAUGAAGAGGGAUUUUAUUAGCUCCAUUUCAGAGGCAUGGAAACUGAAGGUUAAAAUAGUUAACCUGGAUUUGAACGCCAAAGUCAAUGUACCACUGUGACGACCAUCUUGAAGGACAAACACUGAUUGCAUAUGAAAGGUGGAGUAUUUCCUGCCAUAUCAGUAAAGAAAGUAUGUCACAGUCAUCACCAAUUGCAGCCACCACUGCAAUGGAUGUGAGCUGGAGAGCCCUGAGGGAACUCAGGAAGGAAAGAAUACCUGCCAUCUAGCAGCCAUCAGGCUGCAGCCACUCCCCACGGUGCACCCUGAGGAGACUCGGGAUGAGAAAGUGCAGGAUACUGGCCCCAGAGAGCUGAGGUGCACAUCAAAGGAAUGAUUUCAGUGAGCACAGACUCUUGCAUCUUCCCAUCCAUAGAAAAGCGCUAAAUUCCUUAACUUGGGAUAUCUGGUUUUCUUUCAUUAAAAAUAAUCUUUUGGGGACUUCCCUGGUGGCGCAGUGGUUAAGACUCUGCACUCCCAAUGCAGGGGGCCCAGGCUCGGUCCCUGGCCAGGGAUUCACUCACAGACACUAGAUCCCACAUGCAUGCCGUAACUAGGAGUUCGCAUGCCACAGCUAAGGAGCCCGCCUGCCGCAACUAAGACCCAGCACAACCAAAUAAAUAUUAAAAAAAUAAUAAUAAUCUUUUGAUGUUCUGGCUCCCUGUCCUUUGUUGCAAAACUUCUGUUGAUAUAUAACCUGGCUCCCACCUCGCCUCUUUGGAGCAGUUUUCUCAGGGUUACUUGAGAUGUUGCCUCCCGGGCCUGAAGUCCUAAAAAUUCCCGCUGAAUAAAACAUAACUCUCAACUUUUAGGUUGUGAAUAAUUUUUUAGGUCCACAGAUAUGUUCAACUUCUCAUGUUUAAGGCCACUUAGGGCUGGUCAUUGCACAACUCCGGGGUCAGCACUUGCCCCCUGCUCAUAGCAUAUUUGGGUCGUUUUUAAUGACACCUUUCUAGCAGAUGGCGGUAAACUGUCUUGAGCAAGGUGGGUGGGGAGUGGUUCCUGAUUCACAGUUGCUCAAAAAUGGUUCUCAGUGCUCUAUGGUCACAUGUAGAAGGCAGGGGCCGUAACCUGGAGAAAUUAAAAAUCUUGAGCAGCUUCUAGAUGAGCCAUCUUGGAACUGACAAAUGAGGGUUCUUAUUACUUAGGGUCUGAAGUAAUAUCUCACUUGCCCGUUGUCAUGGUACUGCCCUUCUUCUGUAUUUGGAGUGAACUGUAAUCUCCUAAUCUUCUUAGUUAUUAACGUAAUUUAAUGGAACAAGAAGUGUGUUGAGAAUCUCCUAUGCAGAAGAAGCUAUGAUAGUUCCUUUACAGGAGGAAUGAGGAUGGGGAAUGGUGGGGCAUGGAGAGACCUGGUGGAGGUGGGAAUUCGAGGGGAGAUGCAGGAAUGAAUGCGUGGCUGGAUCUUACUUUAUAAACCGCAGAGGAGACUGAACUAUCAGGACCGUACAUAAGUAUUAUGACGGUGGGGUUGGAGGCAGGAUAUAAACAAGAAUCCUUUGGGAACCUAAGGGAGAGAGGAGUUUAUUCGGUCUGGGAGAGCUGGAGAAGCCUUCACGGAGGAUGGGCCAUUUGAGCUAACUCUUGAAGGACGGGCAGGCCCCUGACAGAAGGAGAAGGAAGGAACAGGAGCAAGAAAACAUGAGGUGAAAGCGGUGUAGCUGCCAGAGUGAGCUCUGCAUACAUGUGUUGGGGCAGGUAGGGACUGUGGCAGAAAAAGUAAAGAAACUUGAAUACCCUCUUAAAGACUUCAGACUUUACUGGGCAAUGGGGAGUCCCUGAAGAACUCUGAGCACCGAAGACCUUUUGAUCUCUUGAUUUUCCGGAGAUGACUCCUUUUGCAUGCAGUUCUUGGCAGUGUUGGCUACAUUAUGCGGGCGCGAGAUUUCACUUUUCUUUUUUUC